GAGGAAUAUUGGUCAAUGGGCGCAAGCCUGAACCAGCCAAGUAGCGUGCAGGAAGACGGCCCUAUGGGUUGUAAACUGCUUUUAUACGAGAAUAAUUUGAUGCACGUGUGCGUUAUUGCAUGUAUCAUAUGAAUAAGGACCGGCUAAUUCCGUGCCAGCAGCCGCGGUAAUACGGAAGGUCCAGGCGUUAUCCGGAUUUAUUGGGUUUAAAGGGAGUGUAGGCGGUUUGUUAAGCGUGUUGUGAAAUUUAGAUGCUCAACAUUUAACUUGCAGCGCGAACUGUCAGACUUGAGUACACGCAACGUAUGCGGAAUUCAUGGUGUAGCGGUGAAAUGCUUAGAUAUCAUGAAGAACUCCGAUUGCGAAGGCAGCAUACGGGAGUGUAACUGACGCUUAAGCUCGAAGGUGCGGGUAUCGAACAGGAUUAGAUACCCUGGUAGUCCGCACAGUAAACGAUGGAUGCCCGCUGUUAGCGCCUGGCGUUAGCGGCUAAGCGAAAGCAUUAAGCAUCCCACCUGGGGAGUACGCCGGCAACGGUG
rnacentral:rRNA from 1 species